CGGAUCGAGACCUAUCAUCUGGACUGUCCAUUUCCCUCAGCUGAUGAUGCCUGAUCUGCAGUAUUCCUCCAACUGGAAUACCUGUAUACCAAGCUGCAGAUACCAGCUUAAAUUUGAAGGCUCUUGUCACCUGACCUGAGGAAAAUGGAACACUAGAGGAAACCCAUGCGCACUUGGGAAGAAUAUACAAGGUUUCUUGCAGAGGACACUGGAAUUGAACUCAGAACCGGAAUACAACUCAAAGCGGUAACAGUGUCCCGUGAGCUGCAAUGCUACUCGAUAUACAAUAUUGUGCUUAUACUUUCCAGGACACUUUUGAAGUGUUAUUGUUGAAAAUAAAAGAUAAUGAUGCAUGUGGUUAUAUUGACUUGGAUGGAAGAUUGGCUGGCUAACAGGAAAAUGGGUAGACUAUGUAACUAGGUAUUUUUCUGUUUGGCAAGAUACAGAGAGAGGAGUGUUACAUGUAUUUUUACUAAGGCCUCAGCUUUUCAUAUAACAGAUGAAGGGACUAAAGGUGUGGUUGCUAAAUUUGCUUCUGACACAAAGGCACAAACAUCAUUAUAAAGAGGUGAAAAAGAGGCUAUAAAUUGAUGCAGAUAGAUUAAGUGGUAAUUAUUAAUCUGGCAAAGGGAGCACAAUGUUAAUAUAUUUAAAUAUCAGUAUGAAAAUAAGCAUAAUGACAGAUUGCAGAGCUGAGGGAUAAAUAUACUGGAUGUGCAUGAAUCCCAACCAAUUCAUAUCCAGUUGCAACAAAUUCUGGAAAGCUUACAGAAUAUAAUUUUUUAUUAAUAGAGGAAAUUGCAUACCAAAGUAGGGAGGUUAUGUUUUAGCUAGAUGAUGCUUUAGUCAUCUGGAGAACUUGUACAGUACUGGUCUCCUUACUUAGGGGAAUAUAUUGAUGGAAGCAGUUCAGACAAAACUUACUAAACUGAUACUGGAAUAAGAGGGUUGAAGAAAGGUUAGAUCAGGGGUCAGCAACCUUUACCACUGAAAGAGCCACUUGGACCCGUUUCCCACAGAAAAGAAAACACUGGGAGCCGCAAAACCCGUUUGACAUUUAAAAUGAAAUAACACUGCAGACAACGUUUUGUUUUGCCUUUAUGCUAUGUAUAAACAAACUAUAAUAUGUUGCAUUUAUGAAAUUGAUGAACUCCUGCAGAGAAAACGAAAUUACAUUUCUGCAUGCAACAGAAACAUUUUGAACUCCGAAAAAAAGACGUUAGGUUAAAGGUUACUUUUAAGUAAAAUACUCAACGUCUAUUUGAGUCCUUCUUGUAUUUAUGAAAAACGCCAAACUUAAAUUUUCCGCCAGCAGCAAACCAAAAAUAACGUCAGCCGGCUGUCAACCUGAAAAAUAAAAGGACUAUUUCACUGAACAAUGAAAACAUAUGAAUAUACGUAAAAUAAUAGGCAAUUAAAAUAUUUAUCAUACUUGUUCAGGUUGACUCACACCUGACAAUGCAGUCGUAUUCAGUAGGGAUGGAUCGAUGCUUAGGGGAGUGACCGGGAAGGAUAAUGUGUUUUUUUCCUCUCUGAACUCACAGAAGCGUUUCCCAAACGAUGUUUGCAUUGCGAUGAUUGCAGAAUGUAAAUACUCCGAAUUUAUCAUGUCGUGACAUUGUUUGAACUCUCUCAAAUUGGGCAAGUGAGACAAUGUGCCUUUCUGUAAAUCUCUGGCAAGCAACGUCAACUUGCGCUCGAAUGCCAAAACAUCCUCCAACAUGUGCAGGGCUGUGCGUCCUUACCCCGUUGAAGAGCUGUGUUUAGCGUGUUCAGGUGCGCUGUCAUGUCUACCAUGAAGUGUAGCUUUUCCAGCCACUCUGGCUGUUCCAGCUCAGGAAAGUUGAGUCCUUUGCUGCCCAGGAAAGUUUUCACUUCUUCCAGACACGCGACAAAGCGUUUCAGCACCUCCCCUCUGGACAGCCAGCGAUAAAAACACGUAGCGGUUGCUACACGCAGUCAGUAAACUGCAGUCAAAAAUAGCUUUAUUCGAACUAAACAGCCUUGCUUUUAAGCCUCCCUCAACCCGCCCCCCAUGGGCGCGGAUGCUGCAAAAGACACGUACUCACAAACCCCCGUAGGCUAUCUCCCUUAGCCUGAACGCUGGCUAAUUGUGAGCCCGUUCGGAUGUGUCAGGAAAUGGGUCGCCACAACAUCUUAUUUAGAUUGUACAAGAUCACCAUAAUCUUCAAAUUUAGAUUUACAUUUCAAAAACUAACAAACUAACAUAAAAUACAUUUUAAUUAAAUACUGACCAUGUAGCGGUGUGCUACACGCAGCGCUAAAAUUACGACAUGGAGUCGGUAACUGCAGUCAAAGGAAAAAACCUUAUUCGAAAUCUUCAGCCUCACUUUUAAGCCUCCCUCAACCUGCCCCCCAUGGCGCAGAGGCUCCAAAGCUCUGUGCUCGCAAACCCCCGUAGGCUAUCUAAUUGUGAGUCGGUUCGGAUGUGCCAGGAAAAGGGUCGCCACAACCAAUUAUUUCCCAAAGUAACAGGGAGCCGCAGCACAGACGUAAAAGAGCCACAUGUGGCUCCGGAGCCGCGGGUUGCCGACCCCCGGGUUAGAUAAUCUGAGAUAGUAUCUGCUGACACAAGAAUGGGGGACUUCAUUUAAAGAAAGAAAAUCCUGAGGGUAGUCGUAGGAUGAAUAGAGGCUUCCUCAUAUGGAAGAAUAUAAACUAUUAUAUAAAUAUAAACCCAGUUAAAAAUAAAAGGAUGGCUAAGGCCAGCUUGUACAUGCUGGAAAUGCAGCUUUAUUUUGCAUCCAAAGGCUGGGAAUUCACCACUCCCUCAAAAUUGCCAGUCUCUGGUUCUUUAUGAUAAAUUCUACUCUAUUGCUGCAAAUUUUACAAAAUGAAAUAAUGGGGCUAAUAUUGUCUUUGACUUCGACCAUCAAACAUUAGACAAUCUGUCAGUGUCUGUCUCCAUUUAUCAUUCAUCUGCCCCAGUCUUUCAAUUCCACCACUGCUUCCCUCCCCUACCUGGCACUACCUGCCUGUCAUUUUACACCCCUCAGGUGCACCGAUCACUUUGGAGUCCUUUCAGGCCACCUCCCUUACCCUCUCCAUGCUGGACAUCUCACCUCUCCAUUCUGAAGCUUGGUGUAGGUUUCUGACAAAAAACAUAGAUAAUUUCCUUCCUUCCACUGUGCCGAAUUCCUCCAGCAGACUGUAUGUUGUUGCUGAUCCAGCAUCUGCAGUCUCUUGUUUUUCCAAUCUGCCACUGGGUGUCACUUUUUUUUUGCAAUUUAAAUGUUUCUUAAAAGUAUGGCUAAAGUCUGGAUUGACAACAAUGUUGUAUUUUAAGUAUAAUUAAAAUUGAUAUAAACGAUUGUAUCAUUAACUUGUAAGGAAAAUGUAUAUGUACAAACAAGCUGGAUGAACUCAGCAGGUCGGGCAGCAUCCGUUGAAAGAAGAAGUCAACAUUUCGAGUCGAGACCCUUGGUCAGGACUAAAGAAGGAGAGGCCUUGAACAACAGUCCAGUAGCAUGCACCAUGAUCCAUUUACGAUCAGAACAUCACAAGGUGAAAACAGGUGUGCACUCGUGCGCCUUCAUAGUUUACGCAAUGUGGCGAGAGAGCAAUAGAGUGACUUGAUCCUCAUGAUGAGGACCACUUACCUGAGGCGGACGCACCUGUUCAAGAAUCUCCAUCUGCUGCAACACUUCCAGGAACCUAUAUUAGAUUGGAUUGUUUAUCUGUCCCACCACGGUGAUAUAUCCAUAGCCUAAUAGCUUAGGGCAAGUGACUGAAGAGGCAAAAUAAUCCACUCACUUUGCCUGAGCAUUCAGGUAGUCUACUCUGACCUUCAUUAGAUUUAGUGGAGUUUUUUUUUGGUAAGCUCUAAUGUUGAAAUUUCUGAAUCUAGUCAAGACUUUCAAACAUUGUGAGGACCAUUUUUGAACUAUAUUCAAAACCUUUGAUUUGCCGUUAAAGUACAGAUGUUGGCUAGUAACACAUUUCACUAUAUGAUAAGGAUUUAUUUUCCUUUUUUCUUUCUUUACCAAACAGCUUUGAUCUUGGUAGUGGGCGUAAAUUCUUUUUUUGUAUUAUAGAAUUAUCACAUUUCAGUAGUAUGAUUUAAUUUACAUGAAUAUAAGGUAAUGAGAUUGCAAGUGUGAUGCAAAUAUAAUGUAUUUGGUAUUAUUUUACCUUUUUUGCCUUAUAUAUCUUGUA